rnacentral:misc_RNA from 1 species
ACUCAAUGCUAAUUUUCCUAAAAAAAUAAAACCAAACCAAAUAGGUUAGAUUUUAAAAAAAUAAAAAACCAAACUAAAUCAACUUACCCAAAAAAAAUAAAAAUAAUUUUUUAAAUUAAAUCAAUUCAAUCGAUUUUUUUUUUAAUUUGAAUCAAUUUCUACUCACUCCAAAUUAAAGCUUGCACUGAAAGACCCUUCAAUCCGAUUUUGAUUCCCUUGACCUUAAAAUUGAAAUCAUUGAUUCCGACUUGAAACCAAACCGUAACCAGCCAAACAAUGGGGUCACACAAGCAAAAUCAUCUAGGUACCAAAUCACAAGGAAAAUAUUUUCUUCCCUUCGUCCUUAAAUCUUGGCAUAAAGCAUCCGCUUAGACCAGACCAAGAAAACCAGAAAAUAGACCUUUAUAUUGUGCACAAAAUGCUAACUAUAGCAUGCACCAGAUGAGCACAUUACUUUUCCAGCAUUGUUUAGACCACAGGGCCAAAAAGCAAUAUGAACACUCCACAAUCUGACAAAUAUGAACGAAUACAAAGAUAAAAAUGAAUGUUAGAAAGACAGUUUAAAGGAAUCAAAAUGGGAAAACAAGUCCUGCAAUACAUCAAGAAUUAAGAGAGUAAUAAAGGAAAUGGAAAAACCCUGUGGCUAAAGAAUCCACUUUAAGCUUUCCCAUUAAAGUGAAUUUGGGAAAGUUUCAUUAAAGUAAAUUGGGAAUAAUAAAUUCAGUGAGCCACACAAUUUUAGACCAGUAAUAAUUCAGAAAAAGCAACAAAACUGAAGAAUAUACUCAGCUUGAUUACGUUUCUCAGGAAUCUCUCUUUCUGCGAUGUAGUCAUGUCCUUAGAAAUAACACUUCUUUCUAAAAUUUGCUUUGUUCACAUGGUGACAUGGUAGACUAUAGAACUUAAAUUGAUUUACGCUAUAGUUUAGCUGGCACAAGGAACAUGAUACCAGUCCCAGAUUCCAUUAGUACAAUCAAUUUAAGAGAUUCUCUAACAAGUUGGUACUCAGAACUGUAUUUUCCCUUCACUUUCAUGCAGCAAUGACGAUGGUAUGUCUCCCACUUGGAAACUUCUUUCAAAGACACUUUUUUUUUCUUUACCAAAAAAGGAAAAAAGAAAACUACUUUUUGACCGACUGCUCAAGAAAAUGACACAUAAUGGCAGCCAAUUAACUUUUAUGACCUCCGUUGUCUACAAAAACAUGCUCAGACAGUUUCUUUCUGCUUUCUGAGAAAUGUGUUCAGCCAGUCAUCAACUCUAAGAAAUAAGUGGAAGGUGCCUAGUAGUGUGAUUUUGGGACCAUAGUUACUUUCACAUUUAUAUAAUCUCACCCAAAAAAUGACUAUUUAAAAAAAUAAGAUUCUUCACAAAAAUUUGAAGAGCUGGAGUUAGCCAGACAAAUAUAUCUCAAGGCUAAGACUAAUUUUCAUUCAUCAGAAAAGGAGCACAAUAGAAUUUACCCAUGCUAAGAUGGUUUUUCUCAGCAAAAUCAUGUUAUAAUUGGGACAAAAAGACCAGAUCCACUAUUUUGAGGGACACCAAACCUAUAUUACAAACAAACUCAACAGUAAGGAAGCAAUAUAAUAAUUUAUCUGUACAAAACCACAUAAAAAGAACCAUUAUCUCCAUCAUAAUACAAUCUCUGAGAACUAGCUAUAAAAACUCUACCAACAAAUUCUUCUCAUGCAACUGCUUCAGAGAAGGGUCUAUAAGAUUGAUAUUCGAAAGAAAAAUUGGCCACUCAAAAUAGUUAACUCAGGGAUUAAAAAUGAAACACCCAUCAAAGUCAAAGAAAAUUAUUAGAGGUUCUCAAAAAUUAAGCAUAAAGUAAAUAAUCAUGAUUUUCAAUCAUUGACAGUAACUAAAACUGAAAAAAGAAAAUGAAAAACUUAAAACUGAAAAUUGAACGUGCUUCCUGACACAUAUGCUAAAAUAUGGGUUCUCUCAAGCACUAUGAACCACUCAAAACAAUUUGCAACGUUCACAAAACUAACCGCAAAGAAUGACUACAGAGAAAACCUUAAAAAUUCUUUUGCCCAAAAAUUAUAUAAUACACAAAGUUGUGUGAGCAAAACUUGAAACAAUUGCGAUCAACUAAGCAUAAAAUUCACAACUACACACAUUAAUUAAAUUACAAGUUAAAAAUCCAAGGCAUGCUACUUGCAUUUAACAAACAUGCAAUAAAUGAGUAUCAACAGUUCAUUCAGAUCAUAUCAGCAGUUGUCCAAGAUUGAUUCCUUCCAUAUCAUCAUGUCCUCAUUCCUCAAUAACAUAUCAUGCCACAGAUGAUACUUAGCAUAAUUGAAUAGUAAACCAACGAAGACAAAUUAGCACAUAUAAUGAAUCCUAUAAAGCUUAAUCUACAAGACCAGAGGCACCACUAAGCUCAACGCCCAAAAGUAUAUAAUCAAAAUCAAGCCCAUCACCAAUUACUUGAAGACUAGUACAACAGUGUAAGAAAUUAAUGGAUAAUACGAAAAAGAAGGCUACCAGUAUGAGCACACAGCUGGACAGGGGUGCAUUUGCUUUUCUGCAACGAACUUCAAUUAGAGCAUCAAAGAAAAAAAAUAAUAUUAACUAUAACCAAGAGUCUAGGAAAUCUACAAAAAAAUAAAAAAGUUUAUUUUCUAAUAAUUUCUCGGAAAUCAAACAGAAAACAGAAAAAGAAAAAGGGGAGAGGGUAAGCGCUGGAUGCAGAGGUUUAUCGAUCGAUUCAUGUGUUUGUGCUAAUUUCACAACAAAAUCCACCAGGAAGAGAUCGAUGAACCGCUGCCUCCAGUGACUUCAUCCCCCAACCAAAAACCAAAAAACAAACAGAAAUAGAAACAUCACAAAAAAAAAAAG